UGAACGCUGGCGGCGUGCCUAACACAUGCAAGUCGAGCGGUAGAGAGAAGCUUGCUUCUCUUGAGAGCGGCGGACGGGUGAGUAAUACCUAGGAAUCUGCCUGAUAGUGGGGGAUAACGUUCGGAAACGGACGCUAAUACCGCAUACGUCCUACGGGAGAAAGCAGGGGACCUUCGGGCCUUGCGCUAUCAGAUGAGCCUAGGUCGGAUUAGCUAGUUGGUGAGGUAAUGGCUCACCAAGGCUACGAUCCGUAACUGGUCUGAGAGGAUGAUCAGUCACACUGGAACUGAGACACGGUCCAGACUCCUACGGGAGGCAGCAGUGGGGAAUAUUGGACAAUGGGCGAAAGCCUGAUCCAGCCAUGCCGCGUGUGUGAAGAAGGUCUUCGGAUUGUAAAGCACUUUAAGUUGGGAGGAAGGGCAUUAACCUAAUACGUUGGUGUCU
rnacentral:rRNA from 1 species